UCCGGCGUAGCUCAAUGGCAGAGCAUGCGACUGUUAAUCGCAGGGUUGUAGGUUCGAAUCCUACCGCCGGAGCCA
rnacentral:tRNA from 1 species